rnacentral:rRNA from 1 species
GUGUCAGCCGCCGCGGUAAGACGUAGGUGGCGAGCGUUGUCCGGAAUUACUGGGCGUAAAGGGCGUGUAGGUGGCCUGCUAAGUCAGACGUGAAACCCCAAGGCUUAACCUUGGGACUGCGUUUGAUACUGGUGGGCUUGAGGACAGGAGAGGAAAGUGGAACUCCGUGUGUAGCGGUGAAAUGCGUAGAUAUACGGAAGAACACCAGUGGCGAAGGCGGCUUUCUGGACUGUCCCUGACACUGAGGCGCGAAAGCCAGGGGAGCGAACGGGAUUAGAUACCCCGGUAGUCCUGGCUGUAAACGAUGGGUACUAGGUGUGAGGGGUAUCGACCCCCCUCGUGCCGGAGUUAACACAAUAAGUACCCCGCCUGGGGAGUACGGCCGCAAGGUUGAA